rnacentral:rRNA from 1 species
UUGCCCCGAGAUGAGUUCUCCCUGAGACUUAGAGUCUCCUGAAGGAACGUUGAAGACGACGACGUUGAUAGGCCGGGUGUGUAAGCGCAGCGAUGCGUUGAGCUAACCGGUACUAAUGAACCGUGAGGCUUAACCUU